CCAGAGCCAGAAUCGAGCCCUACACCUUUGCACGUAGUAGGACAAUAACAUCACUAUCAAGACACUACCUGCGAUUGGCUGUCAACCAUUUUAGGGCGUAGCCCGCCUAGUGCCUGAAGACAGCUGGAAUAGGCUGCAGCACACCCCGCGACCCUUGUGACGAUAAGCGGAUCAGAAAAUGGAUGGAUGGAUAUCAAGACACUUAUCAAGAGGCGCACUGGGAGGAAGCCAGGGUGUGUGUACGACUACGCACGCUGCAGGGGUCUCAACUUUCGGGGAGGAGCCAUCCUGACCAGAUGGACCUCUCGGCGACGUAACAUGCGGAGCGGUUGCGCGACAGAGGAAAGCGCAGGAUCUCGCGGGGCCGACACUCGGCAUCCAGGUGGCCCCCACCCCUCCUGACCAGCUGGAGGAGCGAUGGAACCAUCUGACACUUGCAGGGAAGUGAUACACUUUUAUUAGCAGCCUUGUUUUGUCCCCACACAAAGGCCCUCGGCUAAUCAAAGAAUUUGGCUAAUGAAGCUUAAAGGCAAAAAUCAUUUAAAUUCAGUGCCAACCAUUUUCAAAACCUUUGUUAUCCUAACUCUUGAAAAAUAAAGAGAGAAAUACAAAUAAGUACCUGAGAUCGAAUGUCUUUGGGAGUUAAUGAGU